GCUCUCGUAGUCUAAUGGAUAGAAUGUCUCCCUCCGAAGGAGAAGAUGUCGGUUCGAUUCCGGCCGAGAGCA
rnacentral:tRNA from 1 species